UGGGGAAUAUUGGUCAAUGGGGGAAACCCUGAACCAGCAACGCCGCGUGAAGGAAGAAGGCCCUCGGGUUGUAAACUUCUUUGACAGGGGACGAUAAUGACGGUACCCUGAAAACAAGCCACGGCUAACUACGUGCCAGCAGCCGCGGUAAUACGUAGGUGGCGAGCGUUGUCCGGAAUUACUGGGUGUAAAGGGCGUGUAGGCGGCUAUUUAAGUCAGAUGUGAAAUGCAGGGGCUCAACCCCUGAGCUGCAUUUGAAACUGAAUAGCUUGAGUGAUGGAGAGGCAGAUGGAAUUCCCAGUGUAGCGGUGAAAUGCGUAGAUAUUGGGAGGAACACCAGUGGCGAAGGCGAUCUGCUGGACAUUUACUGACGCUGAGGCGCGAAAGCGUGGGGAGCAAACA
rnacentral:rRNA from 1 species